UUCAUUUCCUGGCUAAAUUAUCAAGGUUAAUGUAAAAGAGUUUUCUUUCCUAUGUGCUAGGUUUGUGAGUUCUUGAUCUGCUCAGUGUCUUAUGGACAUUUCCUUCUAGACUAUUUUCACAAGACACUGUGUGUCAUGUCAUUGUAUCCUUCUGUCUCAUGCUACAUGGUACAACUGUCUACUCUUUGAUAAUUAUGAUUCCUACAGUUCUUAUCUCAUGACUGAGGAGGAUGAAGCUACAUUAAUUUAAAGGCCCAUCAUAGUGACUCAGGUGAGUCAAGGUUAGACCUCAGACACCUCCCUGUGUAGACUAUUAUCCAGUUUUCAGAUUUUAUUUUUAAAAUGAAAACAGAAUAACCUCCAGAUAGUAAGCUAGAUGGUAAAAUGUUGCUCUCUCUCUCUCUCUCUCUCUCUCUCUCUCUCUCUCUCUCUCUCUCUCUUCCUCCUCCUCUUCUUCUUUUCUUCUUCUUCUUCUCUUCUUCUUCUCUUCUUUUCAUCUUCUUCUUCUUCUUCUCCUUCUCCUCCUCCUCCUCCUCCUCCUUCUCUUUCUUCUUUUUCUUCUUCUUCUUCUUCUUCUUCUUCUUCUUCUUCUUCUUCUUCUUCUUCUUCUUCUUCUUCUUCUUCUUCUUCUUUUUAUUAUUUCUUCUUCUUCUUUUUAUUAUUUCUUCUUCUUCUUUUUCCGAAAGAAUUUGCCUGCAGAGCAGAGUCAAACCAUAAAAUGAAUGUCCCUAAGUUUUGCCCUUUGGCCUUAUUCUUUAGUCUUCUGCCUUUAACUGAUCCUGCCAAUCACAUCAUCUCUGUUUCAAAAUGUCAGAACUCCUAUUAGACAGCAUGUUGUUUCCUCUUGCUCUGGCUCAAUGGUUGCAACCUGUGUGCUGUGAUUCCUUUGGAGGUCGUCUUUCCUAGGAGUUG
rnacentral:lncRNA from 1 species